rnacentral:rRNA from 1 species
GCCAGACUCCUACGGGAGGCAGCAGUGGGGGAUAUUGCACAAUGGGGGGAACCCUGAUGCAGCGACGCCGCGUGGGUGAAGAAGUAUUUCGGUAUGUAAAGCCCUAUCGGCAGGGAAGAAAUUGGACGGUACCUGACUAAGAAGCCCUGGCUAACUACGUGCCAGCAGCCGCGGUAAUACGUAGGGGGCAAGCGUUAUCCGGAUUCACUGGGUGUAAAGGGAGCGUAGACGGCCAUGCAAGCCUGGAGUGAAAGCCCGGGGCCCAACCCCGGGACUGCUCUGGGAACUGUGCGGCUGGAGUGCGGGAGGGGCAGGCGGAAUUCCUGGUGUAGCGGUGAAAUGCGUAGAUAUCAGGAGGAACACCGGCGGCGAAGGCGGCCUGCUGGACCGCGACUGACGUUGAGGCUCGAAAGCGUGGGGAGCAAACAGGAUUAGAUACCCGUGUA